GACGAACGCUGGCGGCGUGCCUAAUACAUGCAAGUAGAACGCUGAAGGAGGAGCUUGCUUCUCUGGAUGAGUUGCGAACGGGUGAGUGACGCGUAGGUAACCUGCCUGGUAGCGGGGGAUAACUAUUGGAAACGAUAGCUAAUACCGCAUAAUAGCAGUUAUUGCAUGAUAACUGUUUGAAAGGUGCAAUUGCACCACUACCAGAUGGACCUGCGUUGUAUUAGCUAGUUGGUGGGGUAACGGCUCACCAAGGCGACGAUACAUAGCCGACCUGAGAGGGUGAUCGGCCACACUGGGACUGAGACACGGCCCAGACUCCUACGGGAGGCAGCAGUAGGGAAUCUUCGGCAAUGGACGGAAGUCUGACCGAGCAACGCCGCGUGAGUGAAGAAGGUUUUCGGAUCGUAAAGCUCUGUUGUAAGAGAAGAACGAGUGUGAGAGUGGAAAGUUCACACUGUGACGGUAUCUGACCAGAAAGGGACGGCUAACUACGUG
rnacentral:rRNA from 1 species